rnacentral:rRNA from 1 species
GGAUAACAGUUGGAAACGACCGCUAAUACCGCAUAAGCCGGAAGGAUCGCAUGAUUCGGCCGGAAAAGAUUUAUCGGUGUGAGAUGGACCCGCGUCUGAUUAGCCAGUUGGCAGGGUAACGGCCUACCAAAGCGACGAUCAGUAGCCGGCCUGAGAGGGUGAACGGCCACAUUGGGACUGAGACACGGCCCAAACUCCUACGGGAGGCAGCAGUGGGGAAUAUUGCACAAUGGGGGAAACCCUGAUGCAGCGACGCCGCGUGAGUGAAGAAGUAUUUCGGUAUGUAAAGCUCUAUCAGCAGGGAAGAAAAUGACGGUACCUGACUAAGAAGCCCCGGCUAACUACGUGCCAGCAGCCGCGGUAAUACGUAGGGGGCAAGCGUUAUCCGGAUUUACUGGGUGUAAAGGGAGCGUAGACGGCCAGACAAGUCAGAAGUGAAAGCCCAGGGCUCAACUCUGGGACUGCUUUUGAAACUGCCGGGCUGGAGUGCAGGAGAGGUAAGCGGAAUUCCUAGUGUAGCGGUGAAAUGCGUAGAUAUUAGGAGGAACACCAGUGGCGAAGGCGGCUUACUGGACUGUAACUGACGUUGAGGCUCGAAAGCGUGGGGAGCAAACAGGAUUAGAUACCCUGGUAGUCCACGCCGUAAACG